rnacentral:SRP_RNA from 1 species
GCCAGGAACAGUGGCGCAUGCCUGUAGUCCCAGCUACUUGGGAGGUUGAGGUGGGAGGAUGGCUUGAGUCCAGGAGUUUUGGGCUGUAGUACACUAUGCUGAUCGGGUGUCCGCACUAAGUUCAGCAUCAAUAUGGUGACCUCCCGGGAGCGGGGGACCACCAGGUUGCCUAAGCGGGGGUUAACCACCCAAGGUCAGAAAUGGAGCAGGUCAAAACUGCUGUGCUGAUUAGUAGUGGGAUCACGCCUGUGAAUAGCCACUGCACUCCAGCCUGAGCAACAAAGCAAGUCCCCAUCUCU